GGAAGGAGGAGGGGUCGACGUAGCUUGCAGUUCCCCGUCUCCCUCACAGCAGUGCCACGCCAUACGCAGUCACGAUCACGAAACCUUAUCAAGAAACAAAAAAAAAACUAACCAAAUCAAAUAAACCACGUUACAAAAAAGAACAUAAAUGAGAAAACAUGUGUUAGUGACAGCAAACACCUGGAAUAGUUUACAGGAAUGUGCAAAUUAACGCACAUUAGUGAAAGAGAUGAUAAUUAAUAAUAGUGGCAUUAUAAUAACACUAAUAACGCAUCAAGACAAACCUGACGUGACGGGGAGUGAGUUACGGGGCAGUAUUCAGAAACAAACGUUUUACUCUCUCACCGUGACUAUUUUUAAAGGCCACAGAGAUGACUAGCCAGGUUUUCAAGAGUGUUUCUCUUGUUACUAAUGCAGAAAUCUUUUUAAUCUGUCACUAGAGCCUUAAAAACAUCCUUAAAUUCUGCGUCACUUUAACUAGAACCUUUUUGAUUGAAAGUAGUGGAGGUGCAGCGCAGAAGUGUUUCAAAAUAUGGUCAAGAGAAACAAACAGGCGGGAACAGAGUGACUUCUCGUGAUGCUUGAGGUGACGGGCGAGGGCACGCGACGCUCCCUGCCCUGGUAUGCCGUCUUGUGGGUGCUGGUGUGCGGAGGGCGCGGCGCAGGGGGGCAGCACCUCGCAGGGGCCACCUACAGCGUCACAGCAACCAGGGGUACCACGGCACACCUUCCCUGCCUCGUGCCGCUGUUAGUGCAAACCCAGCAGCAUGAGGUGACCUGGCUGAGGAGACAUGACCUUCAUAUUCUGACCUCCGGCACUGUCACCUUCUCUCCUGACGCCAGAUUCAAGGUGUCGUCGUCAUCGCAGGGCCUGGAGGUGCGCGGAGUGACGGCGAGUGACGCUGGCGAGUAUCAAUGUUACGUUACCAAGCAUCCGAGACACCAUUUCAGCGUCACCCUUCACGUCACGGAGCGAGGACAGGCGCCACUGCGGGGGAAAAGGAGCGUGUUUGUGGGCAAAUAACACCGCGGAGACCUGGGAUGGCAGUCUUAAGGUGAAGAUACUGGGAGGCCGUGAAGUGAACAUCGAGGCGGGGUUCUCUUCUGACACUAACUUGUCGUGUAACUUCUUCCCACGGCCCCCGCCACGCUAAUCUACUGGUACCCACAACACUGCCCUGCUCCGCUACUCCUCUCCCAGGGGCGGCGUGAAGCUAAAGAUCGACCACGCCAACGGGGUGACUCUGGCGCGGCUGGAGGUGGGUGAUGUGAGGGCAACUGACAGCGGGGUGUACUCCUGUGUGCCGCCCGGUUCGCAUCCCGCCUCUGUCCUCGUGCACGUCCAUCAUGGGGAACAAGAUGCCGCAGUUCAGCAGGAAAGGAUCAACACAACGACCUCCUCCUCCUCCCUUAUCUCCCUCCCUCCGCACCCUGUCCUCCUCCUUCCUACACUGACCCUCUUCUUUCUCUACUUUCUUUCUUCCUCCUCCUCCUACCCAGCCUCCUUCGUCCCUCUCUCCCUAGCUAUCAUUUUCCUCCUCUCUCCCUUCCCUCCCCUCUCCAGCAGCCUCCUUGUUCUCUCCCUAGCCUUCCUCCUCUCCCCUUCCUCCGCCGGCCUCCUCUUUCCUCUGUGCUUGGAAAUAAAGUGUAAGAGGUG